GGCGGACUGGCGUAAUGGUUAACGCGCCAGUUUCCGGUGCGAUCAAACAUUCGCAACGAGCUGGAGAUUUCUGGGUUCGAGUCCCAGGUUCGUCG